GAGAGAGAGAGAGAGGGCACCUGUGUAUCAAGGUCUGACGAUGAUAGGGAAGAGAAGCUCACUGAGCCCAAAUUGAAAGAGCCUGGAUCGUCUGCUGCAAUGUUAAAGGUUUCCAUCACCCUGAGUCUCAAAUUCAAACUUUCUAGGCCAAGGGGCCAGCCACUUGGCAUCCUGUCAACCUAAGAGCAUGUUAAGACAUUAAUGCAAACAAGCGCUAAGUGUAGAUAAAUAGGAAAGCAGUAAACCAUUGGUGCACAUAUGGAUAGACAUUUGUGCACAUACAUGGGAAGAUUAACGAAUGGAUAUCCAAUUUUCCUGUGCUGCAUAAUUCAUAAUUUCACACUUGAAAACCACCCAGAGGUAAAGGCCGAUUUCUCACAGAAAAAGAAGCACUUCAAUGCACAACAAAUAAGUCUACUGAAAAUCGCCAUAGUACCAAUUUCCAACUGCCCCAAAUUACGGUGAAUUUUCCAUCAUUUGGAGGGACUUAUUUCACUAGAACAUGGAAUAUGAUUACGUCACAUGCACAGAAGUUCCAUUUGAAACAAAGGCAACUCGUAACAUUUGCAUAUGUGCAUAUUUACACUUGGAUACAACUGUCAAUUCGAUCCUUUACAUUGAGUUUGAGAAGAUAACUCUCUAAAAUCCACAUAAUUUCCUAUGUUUUAAUCCAUCUUCAAAUGGAACUUGUGAGUUUUGAAACCUGAAUUUCAUGGAGAAAAGUAUCCCUUUUGACAUUGCAUAAAAGUCAACCAUUCAGAUAAGCCCUUUUAAGCCCUACAGCCUAUUGUUGCUGUUGUUUCUCAAUUCAAAAUCAACCAGCUGUUUGCCUUUUGCUGGAUUCAAUAACCUUCAAAGUGUCUGAAUUGAAAACCCCCAUCAUUCUCCUCCAUAGCAACCCUAAUAGCGCCCAUGUGCAAAAGCCAUGUGAAAGGCACAGUCACUAAUAUAUACUAAAUAGUCCAUAUAUAUAACUAAAGCUGGCCACAUUGAAUGCAGCCUAGAAUAAAUGUGGUUUACUCUAGAAUUUUACUAAAACUUCCAAACCAAUGUUGUCAAAUUUGCUUCAGAUUCCUCUUCGGUUUGGUGAGAAAAAUGAAGCAAUUUGGUGCUUCGGCUGAUUCGGGGAAAAAUUUCAGAUUUUUUUUUUAAUUUAGUAUAAAUAAUUUAGAUAUUUAAUUUAGUAUAAAUAAAUUAAAUAUUUAUAUAUAAAAUAUAUACAAAUAAUGGAAAAAAUAAAUAAAUAAAUACUUUUAUAUAGCUAUUUCUUUGUUGGCCGAAACAGACCCGCCCUGAAUCUGACCGAAGCGGCAACACCUGGCUUCGCUUCUCUUCAGUUUAUGUCCAAAAUCCGAAGGCUUCGGCCUCUUCGGCCGAAGCAAAGCGAAUUUGAUAACAUUGUUCUAAACCAUGGAAGGGAAGAAGGCCAAGUCAAGUCCACAAGAGGUUUCAAGACCAUCACAUGAUGUGUUUAUAUAGAUUGGGCUGAUUCCCAAAAGGUAGGAGGCCAAUCAGAUCAGUUGGGGUAAACUACGAAGUAGAAGGCAAUAAAUAAGCAUACAAAACCAGUAUUAAAGAUAACUUUUUUGUUUCUUUUGGAGAAAUAGUUAACUAUUAUCGAAGAGAACUGCAACAUAUGGGGUCACUACCAAGGUUGGCUUCGAUAAAGAAAUUGGUUCGAGAGAUAACAACCAAGUUCCUAACUGCAGGCGAUGGUUUGUGACAAUUAGAGACCUUUCUCAUAGCCUCUACCAAAGGAAACACUGCUUCCAGAUUUUUAGUUGCAUGACAACCUCCACAAGAGUAUUUCAGUCUAUACCAUAAUCCUAGUUGUAGUAUCCAGAAACCCAAACAUCAGUUUCUAUAGCAUCAUGGUCUUAGAGCCAUGCCAAUAUACAGCACCAGUAUUGCAUAUGUAUUUCCUUAAAAGGGGCGAAGACAAAGAUCUGAAUCUUUUCAGUCAGAGGUAAUAGAUCACAAGCCUACUUAAUGUAGACAAAAUCUUCAAGCUUCAUUAACUUUCCCUCUUAAAUAUUUCCCAAGUAUAAGUGAGUCCUCAACAAUGGACCAUUUUCUCUUCUCUUUGACUCUCUCCCUCGCUAUUUUUUUUCCUUUUUCCUUUUUCAGCUAGAUGUCAACAGACCAUUUACAGUAAUAUCGCAUCAAUCGAAUCUCAUGUAUCGAUCAGAGCCAUGGAUGAUGGGAUGAAUGCUAUUAAAUCCUAGUCUCAAGCCAAUUCACCCAACGAAAGACCUGAGUCUAGAGGUGUAUUUGAUUUUGAAAAUGGAUUCGGAUAGAGGUAAACAUGAUAAAGCAAAAGACUGAUAAAAGUAUUCACAAACUGAAAGCCAGGAUCAAUGCUAAUGGCUGAGACAAAAGGGGGGUUUAUCAACAAUACGAUCCUCACUCAUAUAAACGUUUUUCCAUCAAAAUUAAUCGGAUUGUCAAUCCAACAGCAUGUUUAUCGAAUCAUGAAGUCAAUGACUCUAUUAUUUGUAAUUUAAUUCCUUUUUUUUUUUUAUGAUCAUCAAUUUCUACAAGCUUCAAACAUGGCAACUAAUUCUCUGAUACUGAAUUUAAAGUUUAAUCCAUGAAUUCACCCAUCAAUAUAUCAGAAGCACGUAUCAUAGAUCAACUAUAAACCACAGCCUGAAAAAUAAUAAACCUCAAAAAAAUGAAUGCAAAAUAACAGAAGAGAAAUGGAACGAAAUGAGGAAAAGAGAGAUUUUACCGCCUGAGUAGCCAUGUUAUUAUCAUCCGUUCUUCAUGUGAUAUGUAGCCUUACAUCUAUAUAAAAGUGAAUCUAUCUCUCUCUAGUAGUUGGGAUUCUUAAUUCUGCAUUAUUAUAAGCAAAAGGCCUUACAGUAGGCUGGUAUGGUAGAGAGAGAGAAAGAGAGUCGUUUCCCCUCUAGUGAGAGAGAGAGAGAGAGAGUGUGGUUCAUCAGUCGCUUUUAGAGACAGCAUAUAUUUCGUGGAUGAGAGAGAGGUUUCUUUUCGGUGUAGAGAGAGAGAGAGGCUUCUUCUGUGGUUAUAGAGAGAGAGAGAUCCAGCGUCUCUUUCGCCAGGAAGCGUGAUGACAGGGGAAUACGAGGAGUGAGUUGACUGGAUAAAUCUUUUGCCCCAAAU
rnacentral:lncRNA from 1 species